rnacentral:rRNA from 1 species
AGUACGAGAGGACCGGGACGGACGAACCUCUGGUAUGUCAGUUGUACCGCCAGGUGCAUGGCUGAUUAGCUACGUUCGGGGAUGGAUAACCGCUGAAAAGCAUCUAAGCGGGGAAGCCGGCUUCGAGAUGAGAUUUUCCCUUUGCCCCCUUUUGAGGGGUGUGAGGCCCCCCAGCUAGAACACUGGGGUUUGAUAGGCUGGGAUGUGGGAAAGCGAGGGACUGAAGACUCGUGAAGCUGACCAGUACUAAUAGGCCCAUGACUUUACACACA